rnacentral:rRNA from 1 species
AUUGAACGCUGGCGGAAUGCUUUACACAUGCAAGUCGAGCGGCAGCGCGGGGCAACCUGGCGGCGAGCGGCGAACGGGUGAGUAAUACAUCGGAACGUACCCUGUUGUGGGGGAUAACGAAUCGAAAGAUUCGCUAAUACCGCAUACGACCUGAGGGUGAAAGUGGGGGAUCGCAAGACCUCACGCGAUAGGAGCGGCCGAUGUCGGAUUAGCUAGUUGGUGGGGUAAAGGCUCACCAAGGCGACGAUCCGUAGCGGGUCUGAGAGGACGGCCCGCCACACUGGAACGGAGACACGGUCCAGACUCCUACGGGAGGCAGCAGUGGGGAAUUUUGGACAAGGGGGGCAACCCUGAUCCAGCCAUUCCGCGUGAGUGAAGAAGGCCUUCGGGUUGUAAAGCUCUUUCGGCAGGAACGAAACGGUCCUAGUUAAUACCUGGGGCUAAUGACGGUACCUGAAGAAGAAGCACCGGCUAACUACGUGCCAGCCGCCGCCGUAA